rnacentral:rRNA from 1 species
AUUGAACGCUGGCGGCAGGCCUAACACAUGCAAGUCGAGCGGAUGAAGGGAGCUUGCUCCUGGAUUCAGCGGCGGACGGGUGAGUAAUGCCUAGGAAUCUGCCUGGUAGUGGGGGAUAACGUCCGGAAACGGGCGCUAAUACCGCAUACGUCCUGAUGGUGAAAGUGGGGGAUCUUCGGACCUCACGCUAUCAGAUGAGCCUAGGUCGGAUUAGCUAGUUGGUGGGGUAAAGGCCUACCAAGGCGACGAUCCGUAACUGGUCUGAGAGGAUGAUCAGUCACACUGGAACUGAGACACGGUCCAGACUCCUACGGGAGGCAGCAGUAGGGAAUAUUGGACAAUGGGCGAAAGCCUGACCCAGCCAUGCCGCGUGUGUGAAGAAGGUCUUCGGAUUGUAAAGCACUUUAAGUUGGGAGGAAGGACAGUAAGUUAAUACCUUGCUGUCUUGACGUUACCAACAGAAUAAGCCCCGGCUAACUUCGUG